rnacentral:rRNA from 1 species
UACAGAGGGGGCAAGCGUUGUUCGGAAUUACUGGGCGUAAAGGGCGCGUAGGCGGCCUUCUAAGUCGAACGUGAAAUCCCUGGGCUCAACCCAGGAACUGCGUCCGAUACUGGAAGGCUUGAAUCCGGGAGAGGGAUGCGGAAUUCCAGGUGUAGAGGUGAAAUUCGUAGAUAUUGGGAAGAACACCGGUGGCGAAGGCGGCUAUCUGGACCGACAUUGACGCUGAGGCGCGAAAGCGUGGGGAGCAAACAGG